rnacentral:lncRNA from 1 species
UACUUGUUGAUUAUUUCGAUUCACAUGAUAAGAAUUGUUGCAAGACAAUGAACAAUUGAAUUUACAGAUACUUAUUGAAAACUUGUAUGCAUAACUGCUCUUGAUGAUUCUCGCUCGUUUCAAUUGUCACAUACCUAAGAUCAUGAAUAUUAAUGAAAUUAAAUGAAAUCUCCUAAAAAUUUCGAAGCCUUUCCGUCUCAAUCCAACCGACUCAAUCCUGAUCCAUCCCGAUCCGACAAUCCCAUCACCUUCCAUUGAGCAGAUUUAGCUAUAAAGCGAUAAAAAUAUUUAAUCAAAGAGAUAGAAUGAAUAAAAAGUUAAAAGAUUUUAAAUAUAGAAGUAUAUAUUUUUUAAUGGAAUGCAUAAAGAAUGUUAUAUUUAAAAAAAAAAAUUAAGGAAUUGGAGGCAGAAGAAGGGAAAUGGAGGAGGGGAUUAUAAUGUGGCGACUGAAACCCUUAUCAACAAGGUGAGAGUUUAUAAAAGACAUAAAGUGUGUUCGGUAUGAAGAAAAGCAUUUUCUGAAAAAUAUUUUUCUAUUUUCUCAUGAUCAUUUGGCUUAAAAAAAUAUUUUUUUAAUUAAAAUAAUUUCAUUCAAAGUAAGAAAAAUGACUUCUUUAGUCAAAGUAGAAAAAAUAAGUUGUAAUAUUGAUACCACUCUCAAAAUUAUCCAUUC